UUGCUGUUUAUCCUAAAGAAGACAAAAAAAACCCAAAAAACUUUGAAGCACUAAAUUCUUGAUCCCAGAAUGGCAGUCAGACUUCUCCUUGGAUCAAGAAGCCAUUACCCCAUAAUUUAAAAAAUGUAUAUCCCUGAAUAUUGUUUUUGCAAGUAUUCAUCCAGUUGCUGUUUAAACAUCUGUACAGACGUGAUAAUGGAUAGGAUCCAAUGUCACGCUUAUGUCCCCCAAUUUUACUACAGCUGUAAA